rnacentral:tRNA from 1 species
AAGAGCAUAAUUUAAUUGGCAAAAUAGGAAAGCUUCAACCUUCAAUUUCUUGGUUCAAAUCCAAGUACUCUUG